AUCCACAAUAAGCUCCCAACGGCACAAAUGCUCUUCAGUAGAAAUAUAACCAACUCUCCAACUUGCUACUUUUGCAGCAUCGAGAGGGAAGAUAUAUUGUACAUGCUCUUCAAAUGCAAGCACUCCAAAAUUAUUUGAGCUCAAGCGGACUUUAGCAAACUACCUCCGGAACCGCCCGAUACAUACACUCUUCACCACUGGCUAAAAGCUCAAUGUGAAUCUUCUACUAUUUUUAAUAAAUAUCUCGUUUGGUCUGAAGUCCUCCCCUUUGUCCUCUGGCACAUCUGGCUGCACAGGAAUGAGACGAUAUUCAAAUUCCGGAUUGCUACGCCUAGGGACACCAUCCUUAUUAAAUGGAAUCCUCCGGAAGAAAACGGCUAUAAAUUGAAUGUGGAUGGUUCAUGUAUGGGCAACCCGGGUAAAGGCGGAAUAGGGGGAAUCAUUCGUAAUCACAUCGGGGAAUGGGUGUUGGGAUAUAACAUGUAUUUCACAUGUUACUAACAUAUAUAUGGAAACACUGGCACUAAUACAUGGUUUGAAGAUAGCUAUAGACAAUAAUCACACUGGGGAAUGAUUGUUGAGAUAUAACAUGGGUAUUUCACAUGCUACUAACAUAUAUAUGGAAAUACUGGCACUAAUGCAUGGUCUGAAAAUGGCAAUAGACAACAACUAACUACCUACCCCUAGUCAUCGAAACGGAUUGUAAAGAGCUUAUUAACUUAAUCCUUAAUAAGAAUGUCCUCUUAACCUAAUUGAUGAUUGCAGAUGCCUAUUGAGUAGAGCAGGUGAUGAUCCGCCAUUACAGCACGUCUUCAGAGAGGCAAACCAGGUGGCUAAUUCAAUGGCGAAGAAUGGAAGCAACUCAACUACUUUUGGAAGUUUAACUACUUAUCUUAGUCCUCCUACUUUUGUUAACUCUAUUUUAGAAAGGGACAAACUAGGAACUCUGUGUCCUAGAACAAUUCCCAUUUGUAAUGAACUAUGUAAUGACUCUUAGUAUGUCUUUUAAUGCAUGUCUUAAUUACCAAAAAAAAAA
rnacentral:lncRNA from 1 species